UUCUUCGUUGCAACAAUAAAUGGAACGUGGAUACUUUUUGAAGUAUACAUGAUGGGAGGUGAUACAGUAUUUGGCAGUUUCUUCCAUAAAGCAGAAAAUUCGAGGGAAGGGUCUCGUACCACGAUCCCGCAUUACCUUGUCUUACUUUUUCUAUAAUCUGAAACGACAGGCCAACGAUGUGUCCACCCGUGUUUCAAAAAAUCCCACGGGUAGGAGUUACCGCAGUCGGUCGUAGAGUUCAUUCUACAGUAGCGACUGCCUGUGAAACGAAAUCUCCUAUGGAAAUUCGAAUCUAAAAUCGACACGCGCAAAUCAAUGUGAAUGUGUGUUCAAAAUUAUUACAAAUCUCACAAAUCGUUCUGCUUUCCACGUUCAAGCCUUUUCGCACUCAAGUUGAUUACGUCGCAAUGCGUCUCAGAAAACUUCAGGGAUAAACUUGUCUCGAGGACCGAAGAAGUUUGAAAACCAGAAUGGAAGACAUGGAGAUCCGUCACGUGACACGUACUGAUAUUAGGAAAAAGAUCGUCCACGAUUUUUCCGAUGAAAGAAACUCGUGAAUGGCUGACCUUCUUCCUACGAUAUUGGCAAUAAUGCGCUCGCAGAAUUUCCGGC
rnacentral:lncRNA from 1 species